UACGUAGGGUCCGAGCGUUGUCCGGAAUUAUUGGGCGUAAGGGCUCGUAGGCGGUCUGUCGCGUCGGGAGUGAAAACUUACAGCUUAACUGUGAGCGUGCUUCCGAUACGGGCAGACUUGAGGUAUUCAGGGGAGAACGGAAUUCCGGAUGUAGCGGUGAAAUGCGCAGAUAUCAGGAGGAACACCGGUGGCGAAGGCGGUUCUCUGGGCCGGAACUGACGCUGAGGAGCGAAAGCGUGGGGAGCGAACAGG
rnacentral:rRNA from 1 species